UGCCCCUUAGUGUAACGGCAGCACGACUGACUCUGAAUCAGUUAGUCUAGGUUCAAAUCCUAGAGGGGCAA
rnacentral:tRNA from 2 species